rnacentral:rRNA from 1 species
GAUCCUGGCUCAGAAUCAACGCUGGCGGCGUGCCUAACACAUGCAAGUCGAACGCGAAAGGGGCUUCGGCCCUGAGUAGAGUGGCGAACGGGUGAGUAACGCGUGGGUGACCUACCCUCGAGUGGGGGAUAACGUUCCGAAAGGGACGCUAAUACCGCAUGACAUUCCGGGUUCGAAGACCUGGAAAUCAAAGCCGGGGACCGCAAGGCCUGGCGCUCGAGGAGGGGCCCGCGUCUGAUUAGCUAGUUGGCGGGGUAAUGGCCCACCAAGGCGACGAUCAGUAGCCGGCCUGAGAGGGCGGACGGCCACACUGGGACUGAGACACGGCCCAGACUCCUACGGGAGGCAGCAGUGGGGAAUUGUUCGCAAUGGGCGCAAGCCUGACGACGCAACGCCGCGUGGAGGAUGAAGGUCUUCGGAUUGUAAACUCCUGUUGAUCGGGACGAAAAGCUUCGACCUAACACGUCGAAGACUGACGGUACCGGUUGAGGAAGCCACGGCUAACUCUGUGCCAGCAGCCGCGGUAAUACAGAGGUGGCAAGCGUUGUUCGGAAUUACUGGGCGUAAAGGGCGCGUAGGCGGCCUUCUAAGUCGGACGUGAAAGCCCCAGGCUUAACCUGGGAACUGCGUCCGAUACUGGGAGGCUUGGAUUCGGGAGAGGGAUGUGGAAUUCCAGGUGUAGCGGUGAAA